rnacentral:lncRNA from 1 species
UAAGAUUAGGGUAAAAUAUAUAAUAUAAAAUCUACUCAUCAGCGAUCAUAUCAUUCUUCAUCACAGAGUCCCCAACGGUAAGAGGACCAGUAGGGGAUAAGAAGGAUGGGCGCCAUAUGUUGUCUUGAGAAGGCAUGGCUGCCUUUUCACCAAAGUUCAAGUCAAAACGACGGUCGAAUGGGCCAGACAUUCUUAGAAAUGAUGAAGGAGAAAUAAGGUGUAAUAAAUCUCUGAAGUAAGGGGAAAAUUCCUACAAGCAGUAAAUCUCUCAAUGUACUUCUUGCACACAAUUGGUGCCCUUAUAAAAGAAAGGGCAAUAGGGCUGUUGGUUCAAAAAUCGAAGAGGCACCACUCUCCAGAUUCCGAAAAGGCACCACUUUCCACACGCAACAUCAGCUCAUUGGGUACCACAUAUAACUUUG